rnacentral:rRNA from 1 species
AUACGUAGGGGGCGAGCGUUGUCCGGAAUGAUUGGGCGUAAAGGGCGCGUAGGCGGCCUGUUAAGUCUGGAGUGAAAGUCCUGUUUUCAAGAUGGGAAUUGCUUUGGAUACUGAUGGGCUUGAGUGCAGGAGAGGUUAUCGGAAUUCCCGGUGUAGCGGUGGAAUGCGUAGAGAUCGGGAGGAACACCAGUGGCGAAGGCGGGUAACUGGACUGCAACUGACGCUGAGGCGCGAAAGUGUGGGGAGCAAACAGGAUUAGAUACCCUGGUAGUCCACACUGUAAACGAUGAAUGCUAGGUGUAAGAGGUAUCGACCCCUUUUGUGCCGGAGUUAACACAAUAAGCAUUCCGCCUGGGGAGUACGGCCGCAAGGUUGAAACUCAAAUGAAUUGACGGGG